UGGCUCAGUUGGUAGAGUAUGGUGUUUGCAACGCCAGGGUUGUGGGUUCGAUUCCCAU
rfam:Salmo salar isolate Sally breed double haploid chromosome ssa01, whole genome shotgun sequence.